AUCCUUGCCUGAAAAAGUCACUAACCUUUUUAUGCGAUUGUGUACAUGGGUGAUACACCCCCGGUUACUCAGUUAGUCACUUGUUCAAAUGGCUACUAGCUCUGUUCAUAGUCUAGACCAUCGAAACUUAUUUUUGCCUGAAAAAGUCACUAACCUUUUUACGCGAUUGUGUACAUGGGUGAUACACCCCCGGUUACUCAGUCAGUCACUUCUCCAAGUGGCUAUUAGGCUUAGUUCAUAGUCUUAGACCAUUGGAACAGGUUUAUGAUUUGUGCUUUGUGCUGGUUUUUCAUGAUAGUUUGGGCAAAUCAGCUCAUAGGGAGUUACACUAACUUUUUGUUUGCAUGUAUUUGUAUUUUUAUUUCCCUUGACCAUAGCAAAUUUAAGGAUUCAAUUCAAGAGAAGAACUCCCUAAGUGAAGGUAACAUACUGUAAAUGAUUCAAUUUAGGCUUAAAGGGGUGGCAAAUCAAUGAGGUCAUGAGACAAGGAAACUCUUUUAACCUUGUUAUCUAUGUUGAGUAGAGCAAAAGCUAGAAAAAAUUUUGGUGUGUGCAAAAAAGGGAAAGAACAAUGCAAAAAGAAACAGAAAGAAACAAAUAGAAAUCAAAAGAUGGUGUAAUCAGUGAAUAAAUACUCUCCAGUACCCCCUCACCUAUCCCAAAUAUUGUCCUCAAUGUUUGAAUAUAUAUAUAGAGAAAUUAAGGAGAAAAGGGAAAGGGACUUCCUGGCCUGUGGGUGAUUUGGCCAGUGAUUUGGGCAAAUCACUAGCCCAAUCACUGUCUGUCGUGGUGUUGGGGCAGAAAAUGGUCUACCAGCAGGUC
rnacentral:lncRNA from 1 species